UGCGUGCAUUUGUGUUGUCCGGUGUUUGAAGACGCUUGGAAUUUCGCUUUCAAUAUCUUCGUUAGAAAAAUGUCGGGUGAUACCGAUAAAGCAAAAAUCAGUGAUAAUCAGGAUGAGGACAAAAAGUCAGGUGCGGGAGAUGGCCAGACUACAGAAGAUGAAUCAUCCCAGGAUUCCAAGGGUGAGUCGGCUGUACCUGAGGUGCAAGGUAACGCAGUAGAUGAACCAGACAACAGCCAGCCCCCAGAAGGUGACGCGAAAUCGACCACGGCAAACGGUAAAGAUGACUUAGGCGGUGAAGACGUCAAAGAUGAAAAGGCAAAAGCCGAUGUCGAUAAAAAGGAAGAAAAUGGUGAGACACAUGAAGAGGAUGAUAAGGAAGACGUGAAAGAAAACGAUAAGCCAGCUAAAAAACCGGCCGCCAAGAAAAAACCCAAAAAGGAGGAUACAGAGGAAGAAGAUGAGGAGGACGAGGAAAUGGACGAAGAAGAGGAAGAAGAAGGAGAGGAGGGAGAUGAAGAGGAUGAGAAGAAGCCUAAGGCCAAUAAAGUAAAGAAACCGGCAAAGAAAGCAAAGGAAGGCGACGAAGAGGGUGAUGAGGACGACGAGGAGGGAGAAGAAGAAGAAGGUGAAGAGGAGGAGGAAGAAGAGGAAGAGGAGGCCCCGAAACCUAAACCCAAGAAAGAGCCAACUGAGCCUCCGGUCCCACUUCCGGCGGGCAAAGGUAUCCCCCUGGGUCACAUCAGCAACGUGGAAGUAUCACUCUCCAGGUUUAAAACACAGGACCAGAAGCUUUUACAUCAGUACUUGUAUGGACAACUGUGUCUGGACCGUAACGUGAAGAGGAACAUUAAGAAGUUCAGAGGCUACGAGUGGGCCGUCGGCUCGUCCGACUACAAGGCCAAGCUGGAGGAGACCACCAAGAUGGAGCCCAAGCAGAUUAGGACCAUGUGCGAGAUGCUGGAUCUCGAUAAGAAAGGUGGAACAACAGAGCUGGCAGCCCGCCUGGUUGGCUUCCUGCAGUGCCCCACGGCCAAUUCGCCUCACGCGAGAGGAGUAGCCCGGCCUCCGCCUACGGCUACCUCGACACCUGGAGGCAGACCCCGGAGAUCUGUCGCCGUCAAAGUUCACAAUCGAGGCUAUUCAGAUGAAGAGUACGAGUCUGAUCCAGAGAAAAUCAAGGGACCAAAACUACCCAAGGAGGGCUCGGAAGAUUCUGAUGGGUCAUUCAACCCGAGCGGCUCAGAAGCGGACUCGGACUUUGACCCCGAGGUAGGAGAGGGAGCCGGGGUCGUCGGAAAGAAACGCAAGAGCAGCGGAAGGCGUCGCUCCUCGGGCAAGGCGGGCAAGAAGGGCAAGAAGAGGGGGAGGAAGGCCAGCGGGAAGGGAAGCAGAGGUCGCGGCCGCAGGGCGAAGUCGGACAGCGAAGCAGAGACUGAGAAGUCGGAGAGUGAGAGCGAUGGAGACGGAGAAUCUGGCAGCGAGGGAGAAGAGUCUGAUGAGCCGAAGUCGAAGCGCGGUCGGCCGAGCGGGUCCGUGGCCAGAGGACGCAAGGGCCCCCCGGCUAAGAUGGCCAAGACCUCGCUCGCCAAGCGGAAAACGGCCUCACCGCCAGCUAAAAAGAAGGGAAAGCCAGGCAGGCCAGCUGGGAAGAAGGGAAAGAAGGCAUCCUCCGACGAAGAAUCCGGAGAAGGAAGCGAAGAGGAGGAGGAGGAAGGUAGCGAGGAAGAAGAGAGCGGAGAGGAGAGUGACGGCGGCCCGGCUGAUAAGAAGGCUAAGAGACCGCCUACUGACGAAGAGAUAAAGAAGUACGUGAAGCAGAUCCUGGAAGGCGCCAACCUGGAGCAGAUCACGAUGAAGACGGUGUGCAAACAGGUCUACUCGCACUACCCGGACUUUGAUCUUGCGCACAAGAAGGACUUCAUCAAGGCAACCGUCAAGUCGUGUAUUUAAGAUGUAAAGAAUAAGCGGAGUUAGUCUACGUAGCGUUAUCUAUUACUAUAGUUUUAAAGGACAUAUUAUUACAAUAAUAAUAAUAUAUUAUCAGAAUAUAUUUUUUUUAAUAUCCGCAAACGUGUGGAACGGAUAUCCGCCCGCUUUACGUUCAGCUCAUAUCAUCGUGAGCGACUCGGCCGCACAGCAUAUUCGUAAGCCACAACUUAGACUAAUUGUACACACGAUCAUACAUUACCACGAUUGGCAUAUUUUUCAUAUUUCAACAAUUUAAUUACGAUUAGAGCCCACAUUGUUUAGUUACUUUGUAAAUUGUACGAUUGCAAUGCACGACCGCUUUGUACCAAAUGCAAAAAUUACCUUGAGGUAUAUAUAUUUACCUGUUUUAUUUAAUACAUAGAGACUAAAUGUAUUUUUUGAGCGUUUUUUAAGUCCUGGGUUUGAAUCUCGGGGUGUAUCUCGUGUUGGAAAUAUGAGAAAUAUGUGCGCGGUGACCGUUUGUGUUUUAUUUGUAGACGUAAAUCCCGUAGGUUAAGUGUAACGUAUAGAAUUUAAGAAUUCCCUGUUGUGAUAGCUCAUGCCGUAACCUUAAUCCUUGUUUAUCGGUUGUAUUUUAUAAUUUGUGGAAUGUAUUAAAUUUUUAACACUGGCAACUGGAAAAUGUUUUUAUUGACAAUAAGAUACUGGUAAUGUUUCCAACAUGUAUUAUCUACUUUCAAGAUACGAGCUUACGAAUUCCUAAAAGGCCGGCACUGUCAGUCUUCUGGCCAGUGUGAGGAGUCCAUGGGUGUCACUCAAUAUCAGGUGAACCUAACCGGGGAGCCUUUGAAAAAUAUUGCCUUCAUUAUCUUCUAGAUGUUGGUAUAUAUUCGAUCCUAGGACCGUUGAACCGACUGGAAAUGAGAUCCAUUUGAAAGUCCCAUUUGUGUGGCAUUUGCAGCUAAUUUCGGAAUAAUAGGAUGCACAAAAAACCAUUGAAACUCCAACUGUUGCCAGUUUCGCUCUCAUCCUUGCAGGUGUAUAGUAAUUUUUAUAUUGAAUUAGAUUUUUUUUAGGCAUGAGCUAUCUCUGUCUUUAAAAGUACAUGUCUACACUGUUUUGUUGCUGUUUCUAUCGUUUGUUUCACUUGUUUUUAAAUUAAAUUUUAUAUGUAAUGUGUGUCUGUCAUAAAUAUCUGCAUUUGACUAUCGAUUGAAGACAAAUAGUAGUUUCCUACUAAUUAUAAAAAAACAAGUGGAGUAGGCGUGUCUGUUUGUAUCGUUGUACAUCACAGACCGGUCGGGCCCGUGUUCACCGCUAGCGCCUCUAAGUAUUUCGAGAAAUGUGUUUUCAAAUUUAGUUAUCCCCAUAUUAACCUCGGUUGGAUUUGGAUCACGUGUAAAAAAUGUUGUUAAUUGAUUUUUAACUGAAUGUAAGGUUACAUUAAGCCUAGCCUAUAGUUGUAUUGACGUCUACUGAGCGAGAUACUAAUUAAGGUUCGAGUUAAGCGUACUUUAAGUGUGUAAAUAUUACACGGAGUGCAGAUUUGGUAAAAACAUCGGUGGAAAAUUCCGUGAAAUCGCUUAGUCUUAGCUUGGACAUGUCGUUUCCUGUGCAAUACACAGUUCGCUUCGGUGGGUUUCGCGCGUCGCCUUCGAGGAGCCCCGGGGCGUGGUCGGAGUCCCGCUGGAGUCUAUUUCGAACGGGAGUCAAAAAUCGAAUAUAUUUUUCACCGGUGCCAAGUUGAUGACUAUUUUUUAAUCAAUUUACAGUAGCUUAGUUGCUUUGGCAUUAUUUCGCAACUGUGGCCGAACUUCGCUAUGUCCGUGAACGAUUGGGGCGCACCCUGACGCCUCGAUGCCUCCCCGGGCGGAGGCCGUGUCUAUAUUAAGCCUCCGUCCUGGGACGCAUUGACCGAAUCCCCCUUCGGCCUCCGAGCGCGUCCCAAUGUAGCUAAGAUAGAUAUAAUCAACAUUAAAUGUGUAUUUGUGAAUUUUAACCUUAUUUUGGUUAAGUCUUUGGUGUAAAUGGCUGGACAGUAGUGUCGACGGAGCGAAUGACAGGUUUCCCUUUUACAAUUGGAGUAUAGAAUAAAGCGAAUAAAACAUU